rnacentral:miRNA from 1 species
AGAUGGUGUAUUGUGGUCUCCUGAUGCAGUGGAAUAUCAGUCGUGUGGGAAAGGUCCAACCUCACAUGUCCUGUAUUGCUGAAGGAGGGAUAUAUGAGGUCAGACCUAUCCCACAGGGCUCUUAUUCUUUCAAUCCCGGAGACUGGAACGUGCCAUCGGUCCU